AAUCAACGCUGGCGGCGUGCCUAACACAUGCAAGUCGAACGAGAAAGUGGAGCAAUCCAUGAGUAAAGUGGCGCACGGGUGAGUAACACGUGACUAACCUACCCUUGAGUGGGGGAUAACCUAGGGAAACCUGGGCUAAUACCGCAUAAUACCUACGGGUCAAAGGAGCAAUUCGCUUUAGGAGGGGGUCGCGGCAGAUUAGUUAGUUGGCGGGGUAAUGGCCCACCAAGACGAUGAUCNGUAUCCGGCCUGAGAGGGCGCACGGACACACU
rnacentral:rRNA from 1 species